rnacentral:misc_RNA from 1 species
UCCGGUUUGAAACCGGCGGUCCCGGUAGACAUGGUAACUACCAGCGAGGGUUGCGCUCGUUGCGGGACUUAACCCAACACCUCACGGCACGAGCUGACGACAGCCAUGCAGCACCUGUGCCGCCUCUCGCCUCGACGAGUCGUCCCCCUUUCAGGGUUCUACUUGCGGCAUGUCAAGCCUAGGUGAGGUGCUUCGCGUUGCAUCGAAUUAAACCACACGCUCCACCGCUUGUGCAGGCCCCCGUCAAUUUCUUUGAGUUUUAGCCUUGCGGCCGUACUCCCCAGGCGGGGCGCUUAAUGCGUUUGCUGCGGCACAGAACUCGUGGAAAGAGCCCCACACCUAGCGCCCAACGUUUACGGCAUGGACUAC